GACAGAAUGACAUAGUGUUUUGAGCAUCGGAUUAUGAUUAUGGAGACCUGGGUUCAAAUCCCAGUUUGGCCA